GCAUCUUUUUCAUUCUUUUGUCAGCUCCCGAAAACAGUGUUGCUCCUAUAGCGGAUGUCUCAGGCGUGGCUGGAGCAGCCGUGGUGGCAAGUUCAACUCCACAAGAGGGUACGAGUACAGUAGUGGAGCAGCCAAAACUGACCGAUUCUAGAAGGAAGCGUACAUCAGAUGUAUGGGAUGAUUUUAAGACAGAACUAAUCAAUGGGAAAUGGCAGGCAAUAUGCAACUGUGUCAUAAGUCAUAUGCCGAAGAAUCAAUCUCUGGUACGUCACACUUGAGGACUCAUCGUAAUAAUUGUCCGGCUCGGCUCAAAAGUAACUUGUUUAUUAAUGCUUUCCUUUUUAUCUCAGGAUAAAAAUGAGCCCAUCAUUACGGAAGACUAAUUUGGAGCCAAGUAUGCUCAUGUGGACAUGUGGCCGGGUCUCCAAUUACUAGUGCAUGUACUGUUGGAAGUGCAUUAGAAUUUUGAAAUAUGUUACGUCCUUUAUUUAUGCAACUUCGGUUGUGAUUAAUAAGAUCUUACAACUUUGGUUGUGAUGUAAUAAGAUUUUAAGACCAGAAUUCUACUAUGAUACUGCUUGAGUUGUCAACUUGUCAUUAUGUGGUCUACUACAUUUGUUUGAUGAAAUAAGAUUUAAGACAAGUUUUUUACUAUCAGACUAUUUGAGUUGUCAUUGUGUGUGUGGACAAUGUUUGAACAGUGUACUUGCUGCCUACUUAUGGUUAUACCUUAUUAUGCUAUCAUUUGUGAUUGAACGAUGAUGAGUUAAUUUGAUAUUUGGGAAGGCUUUAUGCUGAUUUUUCUAUGCCCAUGGAGCUCCACGGGUAUUUGGAUAUCCAAUGGGUUUGGGCAUGGGCACAAGUUGUGCCCAUGGAUACUUUGGUGGAUGGGGAAAAGGUAGGAAGAUG
rnacentral:lncRNA from 1 species